UAAGGAAUAUUGGACAAUGGGCGCAAGCCUGAUCCAGCCAUGCCGCGUGAAGGAUGAAUGUCCUCUGGAUUGUAACUUCUUUUAUUUGGGACGAAAAAAGAGCAUUCUUGCUCACUUGACGGUACCAAGUGAAUAAGCACCGGCUAACUCCGUGCCAGCAGCCGCGGUAAUACGGAGGGUGCAAGCGUUAUCCGGAUUCACUGGGUUUAAAGGGUGCGUAGGCGGGUAGGUAAGUCAGUGGUGAAAUCUCGGAGCUUAACUCCGAAACUGCCAUUGAUACUAUCUAUCUUGAAUAUUGUUGAGGUUUGCGGAAUAUGUCAUGUAGCGGUGAAAUGCAUAGAUAUGACAUAGAACACCUAUUGCGAAGGCAGCAGGCUAAACAUAUAUUGACGCUGAGGCACGAAAGCGUGGGGAUCAAACAGG
rnacentral:rRNA from 1 species